AGCUUCCGUUGCCUUCUCUUCCUUAACGCGACUGUAAUCGUAUUUUAGGGUUUCUGAUGGGAUCCGAAGGUAGACGGAAGGUGCCGACCGACUCCAUCCCUUUAUGUCCCUAUGCCUAUUCCGUGAUUUGGGACAUUUUUUGCGGUGAAUUGCUGUGUAAAAGUUGGAUGUUUCUUCAUUUCUUAUCGAUUGAGGACGCAAGCUUCGAUUCUUAGAUGCUCGAGUUUGUUAGGUGCUGUCAGCUAACCUGGACAGAAUGAGAAAAGGAGACAAUGAAUGGAAUCCUUACUUGCAUGGGAAUUUGAUUGUAAAUAUUUGAGGAUCCAGCAUAUCUGCAAAUGUUCCUUUCUCAAUUGAACGCUCCACAUGAUGAGUCAGCCCCAUGGGAGGUUUCCCAGUGAGUAGCUGCAACAACAAGACUCCAAAAGAGUAUAUGUCAGACUUUAUGCCUAGCAUUCCAGUCUGUUGAUAUUCUGGAUCGAUGUAACAGAAUGUUCCAGCUGCAGAUGUCAUAUGAUACUGGGUGACACUGUCUGCCACAGAUGGGGGUACCAGGCGGGCUAGGCCGACAUCACUAAUUUUGCUCACAUAAUAUUGGUCGAGGAGGAUAUUUGCAGGCUUAAGGUCUCUAUGAACCAAUGGCUCUGGCUUAGUUUGAUGGAGGAAAAGGAGCCCUGUGCCGAUCUCUGCAGCAAUGCGGAACCUAUGCUGCCAGGGGAUGGGUGGUGUAUUUCCUCGCCGGUAUAAGCGGUCCUCCAAGCUCCCAUUUGCCAUGUAUUCAUAUACAAGGCAACCGUAUUCUGGGCAGGCACCGAGGAGAAGAACCAUAUUUGGAUGCCGAAUGCAACUUAGUAUUUCAACCUGGGCAACAAAGUUGAAACAUGGGAAAGGUUAUCAAUCGGCAAUUCUUCUAUAACAUGGGUCUAAUUCUUGUGAUCAUUUCAAAGUAUUCAUGUUUCUAAAUGAUUUCAAGAUUUCCAACAGUUUGAAAUGCAGCUGUGUGUGAUAAUACUAGAUACCUCUUGCUGAAACUGUGAUCUCCCUUGGGAUGCAUCUGGUCGCAGUGCCUUAAUGGCAACAGGGGUGUGAUCAAGAUAGCACCUGUAGACAGGACCAUACCCACCUUCCCCAAUUUUCCGGUUCUCUGCAAAGUUUUCUGUGGCUGCUUCUAUAUCCUCAAUUGUGUAUUUCCUAUACCUCAGCUAGGAUCAAGGCAGCUUCUUCUGCUAGUCGAGCUUCUUCUAGUCUUUGUUGUUCCUCCAUCUUCCACCGGUGGAGCUCCAUUGCCUGCAUCAAAAGAAAUCAUCACGAAAGGAACUCAAUUUUGGAGGUUUUCAUGGAAACAUUACCUUCUGUUUAGCCGUGAGUGCUUCUCUGCAUGCUGUGCUGUACAUAUCCAUUGUCUGCUUGAGCUCUAACUUCAGCCUAUUCAUCUCUGCUUUCACUUCUUCCUACAUGUUCCAAGGUAUGUGUAUUUAUUAUGUGAUCAGGCAUAAAGCUUCAAUAUGAUUGGAAUUGGAAGUGCACGUACCGACAUUUGAGAUGAAAAGCUCCCAUUGGAUCGAGGAGAGAAACCACUCCUAGAUGAGUAAGCAUCCAAUGAUGACCUGUGUGGUGAUUGCACUGACUCAAAGCUGCAAUCAAGGCCAUCUGAUAUGCAGGACAAUCUCUGCGGGAAAAGAUUCCGAGUCUCAAAUGCAGCAUUACCUGGCAAAAGGAAACUUAUUAGUUUUCUCCGGUAAAGAAACUAGCAAAAACUUGUCUUCACCAAGCAAGUGACAAGGAUUUGAGAUCGUAAAGGAGUAACAACUGGUGCUGAUCGGACAGCAUUUCUCAUAGAAGAGAUCUUCCCUUUGGAGAUGAUAUAAACUGUGCAGAAAUCAGGCACGCUUUUGCAGAUGUUGGUGCUGACGUCUGUGUAUCUAAAUGAUCUGAGAGAAAAAAGCUGCUUCUCUACUCCAGCAUGGGAAACAAAGUCAACAAUUGCCUUUGCUAAAUCGGUAUCCUCCAGUAUGAUAUCCUUGCACCUAACCUGUUAAAUACUCAAAACUGAAUAAGUGACUGAUAGUUCCAAGGAUUGCAUCUCCUUAAUUGAUUACAACCAUCUUGCAUGACAACUAUGAAAGAGUAUUAGCGGAUUGCAAGACUGACGGUCCAAUGUUUCUCUAAAUGAAAGGCAAACAAAGGCUUCUUAUCUGAAGAACAUCAUGGGCACUUCAUAUAAGAAGAGCAAACAAUCUUGCAUGACCAAAGAUCCGCAAAAGUUCUUUUUUUUUGUCUUACUAUGGAUUUAAAUACUGUUUCAAUACAGGUUUCAGUGAUCUUGUGGACCGUUCCAAACCGAACCGGUAUACCGGACGAUAUACUGAAUAAGAUACUAAAAAUUCAAAGGGGGUUACCCACAUUUUUGCGUUUGCAGAAGCACCGGAAUGGAACGAGCAGUUGACUGGCUGCGGAUGUCACAUCUUCUUGAUGACCCGCUGCAUCACAUCAGAAAGAGAAUGAGCAAACAACCUGGGAGCACUGAUGCUACCAAGAGCCAGGCAGGCGCCAUUGCUGCAACAAAGCUUACCUGAAAGCUUGGUGAUCACGUGGACGAGGAAGAUGGUUUGGCCCUUGACGGCGACGUUGUCCAGAGCCCACUUCAGAGCGUUCUGGCUGCUCUUGUCCUUGUCGACGGCCACCGCGAUAAGCGGGAACGACGAUCGAUCCGAUCCCUCCGGCAUCGCUCUUUUCUGGCAAAGAGAAGAAUAAGAAGAAGAAGAGAUGCAAAGAAAAGUAGCAGAGAAGGUCAGCUCCUCUGCCCCCUCCUCUCCCUUCUUUUGGUACCUCUCUUUCUCUUUCUUUGAGGCCACAGGGGAAGAAGGAAAGCAGAAGGUCUUUCUCCUCUGCUUCUCCUUUCUGCUGCCUCUCUUCUUCCCCUGCUGCUGCUGCUGCUUCUGCACCUCUUUGAGAAGUGCUACGGCCUAUCUAUUUGACUCGGAUGGGCGUAGAGGGGCUAAGGGGUGGCAGAGUUUUGCGCUUCACCUCUUGACCGAGUUAGUCCGUUCUAAUUUUCGGAGCCAAACGUGCCGUUCUAUGGAGCCAUUGGCUUCCGAUGGAUCCAAAUGCAAGACAAAUGGGCAUGCGACACUAAUAUAAUAAGAAGAUAUUACCAUUUGCAAUCUUUUUUAUUAUUAUAAUUUUAUUUUAAUUUUUUAAUUUUUUUAAAUUAUCUUUUUUAAAUGCAGGUAAAUAUUAAUUUCUUCUUCCUUCUCGUCUUCUCUCUCUCUCUCUCUCUCUCUCUCUCUCUCUUCUUUUUUUUUUUCUCGGAUAAAUAUUGACGACGAGCGACGUCGAUAGCAAGCAAAAAGAUGAUGUCACCUUUAAUUACAUCUAUAAUGAGUGUUUAGGGGUCAAGAACACCAAUUACAAAUAGACUGGAAAUUGCUACCAUCAAGUCCAUAAACCAAAGGGAAAGAAAGCGCCAUGCGCACUCAAUCAACAGGUGGACCUGCCGAUUCCAUGCGUUGAUGAGACUGACCAUCGGCAUCCGGCGAGCAGCUGGAGACGUUGAAGCCCGCGGGGGGCUCGCUUUUGCUCCGCCCCUUUCCCUGCUUGCUUCGUCUCCGGCUUUCCUCCCCCUUCUUGGCCGAGGAGCUGUCGCUGCUGCUCGCUUUGGGGGCUUCGAAGAGAAGCAGCACCUCCUCCCUGCUGCCGUGCGGGUCUUGAACGCUCUCUAGGGUGUCGACCACCUGGUUCAUGGUGGGUCUCCCUUUAGGGUUCUGGCUGAGGCAGCGGAGCGCCAGCCCGGCCACCUCCGCCGCCACCGUGCUCGAGUACUGCCCUUCGAUUCGUGGGUCCAUUAUCUUGGGGAGCUUCCUGCUGUGUGGCAGGAGGGGGCGAGCCCAGUCGACCAGGUUCUGUUCCCGAGCCGGCCUGCUCUUGUCCACUGCCUUCUUCCCCGUAAGAAUCUCCAGGAGGACGACGCCGAAGCCAUAGACAUCGCUCCUCGCCGUCAAGUGGCCUAUGACGAAUGAAACCAUGUGAUUUAUAUAAAGAAGGUAAUAUUAUUCUGCCUGCUAAAGAUUCGUCACAUAAUAUUCAACAACUCAAUCUAUUGGUACGUAUUUGGAUCUCUA